GGUUAAGCGAAUAAGCGUACACGGUGGAUGCCUAGGCAAUCAGAGGCGAUGAAGGACGUGCUAAUCUGCGAAAAGCGUCGGUAAGGUGAUAUGAACCGUUAUACCCGACGAUAUCCGAAUGGGGAAACCCAGUAUCCAAUGGAUACUAUCAUUAACUGAAUCCAUAGGUUAAUGAGGCGAACCGGGAGAACUGAAACAUCUCAGUACCCCGAGGAAAAGAAAUCAACCGAGAUUCCCCUAGUAGCGGCGAGCGAACGGGGAGCAGCCCAGAGUCUUAAUCAAUAGCAGUGUCAGGAGAACGGUCUGGAAAGUCCGGCAGUAAAGGGUGAUAGCCCCGUAUCUGAAGAUGCUGUUAUUGUGAACUCGACGAGUAGGGCGGGACACGUGUUAUCCUGUCUGAAUAUGGGGGGACCAUCCUCCAAGGCUAAAUACUCCUGAUUGACCGAUAGUGAACCAGUACCGUGAGGGAAAGGCGAAAAGAACCCCGGCGAGGGGAGUGAAAAAGAACCUGAAACCGUGUACGUACAAGCAGUAGGAGCCUCUUUAUGGGGUGACUGCGUACCUUUUGUAUAAUGGGUCAGCGACUUAUAUUCUGUAGCAAGGUUAACCGUAUAGGGGAGCCGUAGGGAAACCGAGUCUUAACUGGGCGAAUGAGUUGCAGGGUAUAGACCCGAAACCCGGUGAUCUAUCCAUGGGCAGGUUGAAGGUUGGGUAACACUAACUGGAGGACCGAACCGACUAAUGUUGAAAAAUUAGCGGAUGACUUGUGGAUGGGGGUGAAAGGCCAAUCAAACCGGGAGAUAGCUGGUUCUCCCCGAAAGCUAUUUAGGUAGCGCCUCGUGAAUUCAUCUUCGGGGGUAGAGCACUGUUUCGACUAGGGGGUCAUCCCGACUUACCAACUCGAUGCAAACUGCGAAUACCGAAGAAUGUUAUCACGGGAGACACACGGCGGGUGCUAACGUCCGUCGUGAAGAGGGAAACAACCCAGACCGCCAGCUAAGGUCCCAAAGUCAUGGUUAAGUGGGAAACGAAGUGGGAAGGCUCAGACAGCCAGGAUGUUGGCUUAGAAGCAGCCAUCAUUUAAAGAAAGCGUAAUAGCUCACUGGUCGAGUCGGCCCGCGCGGAAGAUGUAACGGGGCUAAACCAUGCACCGAAGCUGCGGCAGCGACACAAAGUGUUGUUGGGUAGGGGAGCGUUCUGUAAGCCUGCGAAGGUGUACUGUGAGGUAUGCUGGAGGUAUCAGAAGUGCGAAUGCUGACAUAAGUAACGAUAAUGCGGGUGAAAAACCCGCACGCCGGAAGACCAAGGGUUCCUGUCCAACGUUAAUCGGGGCAGGGUGAGUCGACCCCUAAGGCGAGGCUGAAAAGCGUAGUCGAUGGGAAACGGGUUAAUAUUCCCGUACUGGUGGUAACUGCGAUGGGGGAACGGAGAAGGCUAGGUUGUCCGGGCGACGGUCGUCCCGGUUCAAGCAGGUAGGCAGAGUGAUUAGGCAAAUCCGGUCACUUAAUGCUGAGAUGUGAUGACGAACCACCAAGGUGGUGAAGCAAUUGAUGCCCCGCUUCCAGGAAAAGCCUCUAAGCUUCAGGUUACCAACAAUCGUACCCCAAACCGACACAGGUGGUCAGGUAGAGAAUACUCAGGCGCUUGAGAGAACUCGGGUGAAGGAACUAGGCAAAAUGGUGCCGUAACUUCGGGAGAAGGCACGCUGGCGGUAGGUAAAGUCCCUUGCGGACGGCGCUGAAGCCAGUCGAAGAUACCAGCUGGCUGCAACUGUUUAUUAAAAACACAGCACUGUGCAAACACGAAAGUGGACGUAUACGGUGUGACGCCUGCCCGGUGCUGGAAGGUUAAUUGAUGGGGUUAGCGUAAGCGAAGCUCCUGAUCGAAGCCCCAGUAAACGGCGGCCGUAACUAUAACGGUCCUAAGGUAGCGAAAUUCCUUGUCGGGUAAGUUCCGACCUGCACGAAUGGCGUAAUGAUGGCCAGGCUGUCUCCACCCGAGACUCAGUGAAAUUGAACUCGCUGUGAAGAUGCAGUGUACCCGCGGCAAGACGGAAAGACCCCGUGAACCUUUACUAUAGCUUGACACUGAACAUUGAGCCUUGAUGUGUAGGAUAGGUGGGAGGCUUUGAAGUGUGGACGCCAGUCUGCAUGGAGCCAACCUUGAAAUACCACCCUUUAACGUUUGAUGUUCUAACCUAGGCCCAUAAACUGGGUCGGGGACCGUGUCUGGUGGGUAGUUUGACUGGGGCGGUCUCCUCCUAAAGAGUAACGGAGGAGCACGAAGGUUGGCUAAGCAUGGUCGGACAUCAUGCGGUUAGUGCAAAGGCAUAAGCCAGCUUGACUGCGAGAGUGACGGCUCGAGCAGGUACGAAAGUAGGUCUUAGUGAUCCGGUGGUUCUGAAUGGAAGGGCCAUCGCUCAACGGAUAAAAGGUACUCCGGGGAUAACAGGCUGAUACCGCCCAAGAGUUCAUAUCGACGGCGGUGUUUGGCACCUCGAUGUCGGCUCAUCACAUCCUGGGGCUGAAGUAGGUCCCAAGGGUAUGGCUGUUCGCCAUUUAAAGUGGUACGCGAGCUGGGUUUAGAACGUCGUGAGACAGUUCGGUCCCUAUCUGCCGUGGGCGUUGGAAGAUUGAGAGGGGUUGCUCCUAGUACGAGAGGACCGGAGUGAACGCACCACUGGUGUUCGGGUUGUCAUGCCAAUGGCAUUGCCCGGUAGCUAAGUGCGGAAGAGAUAACCGCUGAAAGCAUCUAAGCGGGAAACUUGCCUCGAGAUGAGUCUUCCCUGUCGCUUUAAGCGACCUAAAGGAACGUUUAAGACUAAGACGUUGAUAGGCUGGGUGUGUAAGCGUAGCGAUACGUUGAGCUAACCAGUACUAAUGAACCGUGAGGCUUAACCUG
rnacentral:rRNA from 1 species